rnacentral:rRNA from 1 species
UGCAGUCGAGCGGUAAGGCCCUUUCGGGGGUACACGAGCGGCGAACGGGUGAGUAACACGUGGGUGACCUGCCUUCAGCUCUGGGAUAAGCCUGGGAAACUGGGUCUAAUACCGGAUAUGACUCCAUGAUGCAUGUUGUGGGGUGGAAAGCUUUUGCGGCUGGAGAUGGGCCCGCGGCCUAUCAGCUUGUUGGUGGGGUGAUGGCCUACCAAGGCGACGACGGGUAGCCGGCCUGAGAGGGCGAUCGGCCACACUGGGACUGAGACACGGCCCAGACUCCUACGGGAGGCAGCAGUGGGGAAUUUUGCGCAAUGGGCGGAAGCCUGACGCAGCGACGUCGCGUGAGGGAUGACGGCCUUCGGGUUGUAAACCUCUUUCAGCCCUGACGAAGCAAUGAUGUGACGGUAGGGGUAGAAGAAGCACCGGCCAACUACGUGCCAGCAGCCGCGGUAAUACGUAGGGUGCAAGCGUUGUCCGGAAUUAUUGGGCGUAAAGAGCUCGUAGGCGGUCUGUCGCGUCAGCUGUGAAAUCCCGGGGCUCAACUCCGGGCUUGCAGUCGAUACGGGCAGGCUAGAGUUCGGCAGGGGAGACUGGAAUUCCUGGUGUAGCGGUGAAAUGCGCAGAUAUCAAGAGGAACACCGGUGGCGAAGGCGGGUCUCUGGGCCGAUACUGACGCUGAGGAGCGAAAGCGUGGGGAUCAAACAGGGUUAGAUACCCUGGUAGUCCACGCUGUAAACGAUGGGGACUAGGUGUGGGGGGUAUUGACCCCUCCCGUGCCGACGCUAACGCAUUAAGUCCCCCGCCUGGGGAUUACGGCCGCAAGGUUAAAACUCAUAUGAAUUGACUGGG